CAGCGGCGGACGGGUGAGUAAUGCCUGGGGAUGCUGCCCAAUCGAGGGGGAUACCAGUUGGAAACGACUGCUAAUACCGCAUACGCCCUGAGGGGGAAAUGGUGGGGAUCUUCGGACCUACCGCGAUUGGAUGCGCCCAGGUGGGAUUAGCUAGUUGGUGAGGUAACGGCUCACCAAGGCGACGAUCUCUAGCUGGUCUGAGAGGAUGACCAGCCACACUGGAACUGAGACACGGUCCAGACUCCUACGGGAGGCAGCAGUGGGGAAUAUUGCACAAUGGGGGAAACCCUGAUGCAGCCAUGCCGCGUGUGUGAAGAAGGCCUUCGGGUUGUAAAGCACUUUCAGUCAGGAGGAAAGGUGGCUAGCUAAUACCUAGUUGCUGUGACGUUACUGACAGAAGAAGCACCGGCUAACUCCGUGCCAGCAGCCGCGGUAAUACGGAGGGUGCAAGCGUUAAUCGGAAUUACUGGGCGUAAAGCGCACGCAGGCGGCUUGUUAAGUCAGAUGUGAAAGCCCCGGGCUCAACCUGGGAACUGCAUUUGAAACUGACAAGCUAGAGUCUUGUAGAGGGGGGUAGAAUUCCAGGUGUAGCGGUGAAAUGCGUAGAGAUCUGGAGGAAUACCGGUGGCGAAGGCGGCCCCCUGGACAAAGACUGACGCUCAGUGCGAAGCGUGGGGAGCAAACAGGAUUA
rnacentral:rRNA from 1 species